GACGAACGCUGGCGGCGUGCUUAACACAUGCAAGUCGAACGGUGAAAGCGGAGCUUGCUCCGCUGGAUCAGUGGCGAACGGGUGAGUAACACGUGGGCAACCUGCCCCUCACUUCGGGAUAACUCCGGGAAACCGGGGCUAAUACCGGAUAUGACCUCCUUGGGCAUCCUUGGGGGUGGAAAGCUUUUCGGUGAGGGAUGGGCCCGCGGCCUAUCAGCUUGUUGGUGAGGUAGUGGCUCACCAAGGCGACGGCGGGUAGCCGGCCUGAGAGGGCGACCGGCCACACUGGGACUGAGACACGGCCCAGACUCCUACGGGAGGCAGCAGUGGGGAAUAUUGCGCAAUGGGCGAAAGCCUGACGCAGCAACGCCGCGUGCGGGAUGACGGCCUUCGGGUUGUAAACCUCUUUUAGUAGGGAAGAAGCGAAAGUGACGGUACCUGCAGAAAAAGCACCGGCUAACUACGUGCCAGCAGCCGCCGUAA
rnacentral:rRNA from 1 species